GAUGAAGAACGUAGCGAAAUGCGAUAAGUAAUGUGAAUUGCAGAAUUCAGUGAAUCAUCGAAUCUUUGAACGCACAUUGCGCCCCUUGGUAUUCCGAGGGGCAUGCCUGUUCGAGCGUCAUUAUAACCCCUCAAGCUCAGCUUGGUGUUGGGGCCUGCCGCACGGGCAGCCCUUAAAAUCAGUGGCGGUGCCAUCUGGCUCUAAGCGUAGUAAUUCUUCUCGCUAUAGAAUCCCGGUGGAUGCUUGCCAUUAACCCCCAAUUUUCUAUGGUUGACCUCGGAUCAGGUAGGGAUACCCGCUGAACUUAAGCAUAUCAAUAAGCGGAGGA
rnacentral:misc_RNA from 1 species